AGCUGUGAAGAUACAGAGAGCGACACUAACGUUAUGGAGGGACUUGCCAGGGAGCAGAGCAGAUUUUCCCCUAAGAAGGAUGGAAAGGGCCAGUGGCGAGGCAGUGUGGGAAUUGCGUUUUCUUCCUUCCUUGAGAACGGGUGCUGGCAGUCCUUCAAAGGGAAAGAAGGAUGUUCAGAGAAGUGCUUUUGAGUCGUCCCAACCUUAAGGGAUGAGCAAUUGGAGGGGGAAAAAGUGGUGCUGCUUUAAAAUGCAAGCACCCAGACUCAAAAGAAUACUUAAUAGAUGAUUCCAUGUAUGUAAAAUUCUGAAAAAUGCAAACUAAUCUAAGUAGAUGGGUGGUUGCCUGGGGUAAGAGGGCCUGCACCAGGCUAGAGGAACCUUUUGGAGGGGGUAAUAGAAAAGCUAUAUUUCCAUUGGGGUGGCAAUUUCAUGGCCUAAAAUCUAAACUCAAGGAAUUUUACACUUCAAAUGGAUGCAGUUAUUGCAUGUAAAUUGAUACUGCAAUAGUUCAAUUUUUGAAAAAUGCAGGUACCCUCUUGCAGUAAGCACUGCUGGCUGCCCACCCAACCGCCCUUACCCCCUUUUUUGCUCCUGGAACUCUUGUGUCACAGGCCAAUCCUGAUGAGUCUACGUUGGUGAAGUGUGAGCCUCCCAUUCUCCUUGCCAGUGAUUGGCUUACAGGUCCCCUUCAAAUUAAGUCAUCUCUUCUUCAAGGCUCAGUCAUAUAAAUUUCAAAGGACACGUGGCCAUGCUCCAUACCAGAAAGGUUUGAAGGAGGUUUAACAACCUCAAGAAACUCAGACAAUCAUCCAGUGCCUCGCCCAGCAGGAAAGUGCUGAAGCGGGUGGGGUGACUGGUCACCAAGCAAGGCUCAUGCGGAUGGGCAUCGAUAAAGACAUCGAUAAAGACGUGGUUACCAUGGCAACCAUCACUUCUAACUUCUUAUCAAACCACAUCCUGUGAACAUGAGGGAGCAGAGCCGAAGUGAGAGCCAGAGACCCUGCAUCCUUCCUUAUUCUACUCUUGCUACCAUUCCGCACCACUACCGUGCCUCAGUUUCCCCCAAUUUAAAGUGAGACAAUACUUCUUUACCUUUCAUCUGACCACAGACACUUGGGAAGCCAUGCCUAGAGGAGGCUUCACCCCUCAGUGAAAAGGGACCUCAGGGAGACCUUGUUCUCCCUGAGCCUUGUACAUUCAGAUUUUCUAGGAGUUGAACAGGUAAGAGGUACCUGAGUAAGAGGUAUAAUAUUAAUAAUUCUACCGCCUGCUCUAUGACUGUCCAUGUGAUGUUGGGCAAGUCAAUCUCUCUGAGCCUCAGUUUCUUUAUCUCUAAAAUGGGCAUAACUAUUUAUGCCCUCUCUACUUUACAGAGUUAUGGUGAGAGCUGUACAAGGUAAUGUUGUGGAAGCAUUCUGGAAGAUGUAAAAUCUCACAUAAAUGGAAGGAACAAAUAUUGCCUUCCAUUUAUACUCCCUCCUCUUAAGUUCCUCUAAAUCAACUUAUAGAUGAAAACCCGUUAGCCUGAAGAGUUCCAGCACCACUGCUUUCCUUAGAAUACUGGUUCUCAAGCCAGGUGUGGUGGCUCACGCCUGUAAUCCCAGCACUUUGGGAGGCUGAGGUGGGUGGACUGCUUGAGGCCAGGAGUUCAAGACCAGCCUGGCCAACAUGGUGAAACCCCAUCUCUACUAAAAAUACAAAAAUCAGCUGGGUGUGGUGGUGUCUGCCUGUAGUCCCAGCUACUUGGGAGGCUGAGGCACUAGAAUUGCUUGAACCCAGGAGGCGGAGGUUGCAGUGAGGUGAGAUUGUGCCACUGUACUCCAGCCUGGGUGACAAGGCGAGACUCUCUCUC